UCGGCUUUUAAACCUCGAGACUAGUUUUCUCAGUGAUCUGCCAGAUAUUAUUUGAAUUUCUGAGAUCAUUGUGAAAGCUGAUUUUGUGGAUAGCCUCGACU
rnacentral:pre_miRNA from 1 species